CCUUCCACCUUCCCCCCGCACCGUCCCUCAGCCUGUGCACCUCCGCGUGUGGCGGUGUGUGCGUGUCCCCGGCGAGCAGCAAAGACUCUUUUCUCGAUGACUGCUUCAGUGUCUGGCAAUCAAAGUGGAGUCGAUGUUUUAUUCCACCGCCCAGAGUUGACCCGAUGCUUCGGUUGUGGGCUCUUACAGGCAAUAGCUUGCUUGAUGGACAUGAAUGCGUUGUUGGACAGAUUUCACAAUUACAUCCUACCGCAUCUCAGAGGGGAGGACCGAGUUUGUCACUGCAACUGUGGAAGGCACCACGUGCAUUAUGUCAUCCCCUACGACGGGGACCAGUCGGUGGUGGACUCCUCGGAGAAUUACUUUGUGACUGACAACGUCACCAAGCAGGAGAUCGACCUGAUGCUGGGGCUGCUGCUGGGCUUCUGCAUCAGCUGGUUCCUGGUGUGGAUGGACGGGGUGCUGCACUACGCCGUGCGCGCCUGGCGGACCAGCCGGCGCUAUGACAACUCCUGGUCCUGGAUCCCCAAAUUCUGCAACCUGAAGGAGCUGCGGAAGCGCCACCACCGGCAGUACGAGGAGGCCACCGGGAACAUGGUGCACAUCAAACAGAAGCUGUACCACAACGGGCACCCCAGCCCGCGGCACCUCUGAGGGACCCGCUCCGGGACUGCGGCCAGCUUUUAAACACACACAGGACUCCUCUUCCUCCUGGGAACAGCCUCUGGCUCGCUCCCAAGCCAGCUGAGGACACGGAAUUUCGGGAUCCAUCCCGGCUGUCCACGGGUGGACACGCCACGAUGCACAACUCAAGCCAGUCCUGGAUGCUCUGCAGCCAAGACUUUGCACUGUGUUCCACAUUUUAUUGUCAGACUCGUGUAAAUAUGUAAAAAAAACAACAAAAAAAAAAAGAGAGAGAGAGAAAAGAGAUUUGCAUUAUACUUUCAACCCCCCUCCCCCCAUUUUCCUGGCUGCUGGAAUGUUGGAUGGAGGUGGGACAGCAGCGAGAAGAUGCAGAGUGUCUCCUCCAGGAGCUCCAGCCCCCAAAGGUUCUCUGCUCCUUUGCCUGGCCGCUCUCAGGUUUGGAUGGGGGGCAGGCACAGCGGCCCCUGCUCGGGUUUUUCUCUGGUUCCCUCCUGGGGAGGAAGGGCUGGAAUGGCUCUGGGAUUGUUCUUUGCUUUGCUGUCCCCUGAAAGCUGCCUUAAGGAACCUGAGCUCAGAGCCAGGGCAGUGGGGUGCUGCUGCUGCUCUGGUGGCACCUUUGGUGGCACCUUUGGUGGUGGCAGGGCUGCUGUCCUUCACUAGAGGAGGGUGGGAUGUGUCAGAUCUGACUUGUCAGAUUAAAACACCCCAAAACCCCAAAGUGCAGCACAGAGGGAGCCCUGAGCAGAGUGAGCCUGGAUAAAACACCCCAAAACCCCAAAAACUCCAGAGAGCAGCACAGACGAGGUCCUGAGCAGAGUGAGCCUGGAUAAAACACCCUAAAACCCCAAAUGCAGCACAGAGGGAGCCCUGAGCAGAGUGAGCCUGGAUAAAACACCCCAAAACCCCAAAAAACCCAGAGAGCAGCACAGAGAGAGUCCUGAGCAGGGCGAGCCUGGUUAAAACACCCCAAAACCCCAAAGUGCAGCACAGAGGGAGCCCUGAGCAGGGUGAGCCUGGAUAAAACACCCCAAAACCCCAAAACCCCCAAAGUGCAGCACAGAGGGGGCCCUGAGCAGGGUGAGCCUGGAUAAAACACCCCAAAACCCCAAAGUGCAGCACAGAGGGAGCCCUGAGCAGCCUCACUCCUGCUGCACAUCCAGCACCCCUUUUUUGUGGGGCUGGACUUGUGGGACACGGAAAGACCAACCCCAAAUUCCUCUCCAGACAUCCCAAAUGUCCCCAAGGCUGUCACACUGUGAGGAGGCUCCCAAGUGGUUUUGCAUGUGCUGCUCCUGGUGUUUGGGUUUUGAGGGCUGGGUGGGAUCAAGGCUCUGAAAGCAGUGUCCCAAAAACCCCAAAAACCUCCUUUAGGGCCAGCAGAGGGGCCUGGAGGAGCUGUAGGGCCAGGGGGUGGCUGGGGCCUUGUCCUGGUGCUGGCUGGGCAGGGGAGAGAGGAUUUGUUAGCAGGGAUAAAUAAAGGAGGGAAAUGCCAUCCCCAGGAGUCUGAGAGCCCCCAACCCUCAGCACUUCCCCUCCUGUCACAUUUUGUGUGCAAAAAUGGGGAAAACACCCAGAACUGAAGGAUGCUGAGCAUUGCCAGAAAAAUCUCCUUUUUUUUUUUUUAUUUUCCCAUGGAUUCCUUGGCACUCUCAGUGGCCACAACUCCUGCUCUUCCCUCCCUGCUCCAGUUUCUGUGUCUUGGGGUUGUUUUGUUAAUUUUCUACACCCACUUCAGUUAAUUACAAGCCCCAAAACUGCCCAAAUAUUCCCAUUUUUCUGCCAUUCCCACUUUUGUUAUUCCCUAGUGCCUCUUGUCUUGGAGCCCCAGGUUCUUUCUGGGCCUGAAUCAUUGCCUGGUCCAUAUUUGUGUCUGUUUGUCUGUCAUUCCUGGCUGUGAUGUCCAAAAUUCCUUAGGAUCUAAGGAAUGACUUUUCUUUGAGCAGGGAAGAGCAGGGACUGUGUUAUCAACAAGUGGGGACAACAUUUUGUAGGGGUGAAAAUUCCAUUGGGAUAAAAAAAAACCAAAUAUUGAGUCCCUGGAACUGGUUAUAUAAAAAAAAACCAAACAAAAGCGGGGGAAAAAGGGACUUUAAAAUGAAUUUUCCUACUGAUCUAAGUUCAGACUGAAUGUAAAGCCUGGCUCUGCCCUGCUCUAGCAGCUGAGCUUGGCUGAAAUAUUAAAAAUGAAACAGAUGGAAAGGGUGAAGUGAUGGCUCACACCUGUUAAGUUUGAUCUGGCUGAUCCAUGGCAAAAUUCCAUAAAAAUUUGAGGUUCUGGAAGAGGGGGGAAAAAAAUUCUACAUAAUAAAAAUGUUCCUGUUGUAAAAAAAACAGAUUUAAAAAAAUCUGCUGGGUCUGGAGCCUUUUGAACUGCUUUCUUGUUCAAAUUUUGGCAAAAAAAAAAAAAGCCAAACCAAACCAAAAUAAGAAAUAUUCUCAGUGCAAUUAAAUUUACUGGGAACAAUUCACUUUAAUCCAGGGAAACCAGACAAGUUUUGUGGGCCAAUAUUUGAAGGCCAAAAUUCCUUCCUGUGCAGGGAGGAAAUCCCGACCCAGCAGAUCUGGGAUGGCAUCAAACUCCUGAGCAAGGACAUCAAAAAUACCCUAAAAACCCCAAAAAUAGGAGAGUUUUUCCCAAAAGCCACAGGUCUGAGCUGUCUCCUCUUUGGGGAACGAGGUGCCAAGGCCCCCAGAGAAGCAGAAGGUGAAGGAGGCAGCAGGUUUGGGGUGUUACAGCUGAGUUUUGGGGUGUUACAGUUGGGGUUUGGGGUGUUACAGCUGGUUUGGGGGUACUGCAGCUGGUUUUGGGGUGCAGAGAAGAGGAAGAAGAGGAAGAGGAAUGGGAAGCAGAGAGGGAAGCGAAGAGGAAGGAGAGAGGAAGAAGAGGAGAAGGAAGAAGAGAAGGGACCCUGCUGUGUGUCCGUGCCCCUGCAUGGAGCCUGUCCCUCCACCCACUUGCUCUCUUUUCUGCUCCAAAGGGGUUCCCCUAUUCCAUCUCUGCUCCAAAGGGGUUCCCCCAUCCCAUUUCUGCUCCAAAGGGGUUCCCCUAUCCCAUCCCUGCUCCAAAGGGGUUCCCCCAUCCCAUUUCUGCUCCAAAGGGGUUCCCCUAUCCCAUCCCUGCUCCAAAGGGGUUCCCAUUUCUGCUGGGUUCCCACCAGGGUGACCCUGGGGGCUCAGCCCCAGCUCUCCCUGAGGCACAGGGAGCCCUGCACUCACUCCAGGGAGGUUUUUCACUCGUGAAACACCAGGACAGAGCCUGGAGUGCUGAUUUCCCCAAUUGUUCAUCCUUCUUUUCUUUCAUCCUGCCCCCAAACCACUUCUGCAUGCAUCAGGCAGGGAGAGGCACAGCCCAGAGAGAGAGAGAGAUUAAACUCUGCUCCGAGUCUAAUCACAGAAUCAUCUCGACUGUGGUUGUAAAGCAAUAAUGGCGAAUUUUUUUUAUUAAAUACACUUGCAGAGGCAGAUUUCACCCAGGGCUUUGUGCUCUCGAGUGGCUGGAGGGGUGGCAGCUGUGCUGAAGGUGCAGAGAGCUUGGGGCAGGGGAGGCAAUAGAAAAAGCACACUGUGAUUUUAUUUGGGUCAAUAAGUGAGUGUAUUUCAGCCAUUCCUUCCCUUUCAAGAAGAUGUUUGUAUAAUAGAGAACCAGUUCAGCUCCUGGAACUAAGCCCAUCCUUUGCUGUUUGUCAGUAAAAUAGUUUUUUGCA